rnacentral:rRNA from 1 species
UUAACAUGCAAGUCGGACGGCAGCACGGGGGCAACCCUGAUGGCGAGUGGCGAACGGGUGAGUAAUACAUCGGAACGUGUCCUGGAGUGGGGGAUAGCCCGGCGAAAGCCGGAUUAAUACCGCAUACGCUCUGUGGAGGAAAGCGGGGGAUCUUCGGACCUCGCGCUCAAGGGGCGGCCGAUGGCAGAUUAGCUAGUUGGUGGGGUAAAGGCCUACCAAGGCGACGAUCUGUAGCUGGUCUGAGAGGACGACCAGCCACACUGGGACUGAGACACGGCCCAGACUCCUACGGGAGGCAGCAGUGGGGAAUUUUGGACAAUGGGGGCAACCCUGAUCCAGCAAUGCCGCGUGUGUGAAGAAGGCCUUCGGGUUGUAAAGCACUUUUGUCCGGAAAGAAAACUUCGUUCCUAAUAUGGAUGGAGGAUGACGGUACCGGAAGAAUAAGCACCGGCUAACUACGUGCCAGCAGCCGCGGUAAUACGUAGGGUGCGAGCGUUAAUCGGAAUUACUGGGCGUAAAGCGUGCGCAGGCGGUUCGCUAAGACCGAUGUGAAAUCCCCGGGCUUAACCUGGGAACUGCAUUGGUGACUGGCGGGCUAAAGUAUGGCA